rnacentral:rRNA from 1 species
AGAGUUUGAUCCUGGCUCAGAUUGAACGCUGGCGGCAGGCCUAACACAUGCAAGUCGAGCGGCAGCAGGCCCUCCGGGGUGCUGGCGAGCGGCGGACGGGUGAGUAAUGCAUGGGAACUUACCCAGUAGUGGGGGAUAGCCCGGGGAAACCCGGAUUAAUACCGCAUACGCCCUGAGGGGGAAAGCGGGCUCCGGCUCGCGCUAUUGGAUGGGCCCAUGUCGGAUUAGUUUGUUGGUGAGGUAACGGCUUACCAAGGCGACGAUCCGUAGCUGGUCUGAGAGGAUGAUCAGCCACACCGGGACUGAGACACGGCCCGGACUCCUACGGGAGGCAGCAGUGGGGAAUAUUGGACAAUGGGGGCAACCCUGAUCCAGCCAUGCCGCGUGUGUGAAGAAGGCCUUUGGGUUGUAAAGCACUUUCAGCAGGGAGGAAAAGCUGGUCGCUAAUACCGGCCAGUGUUGACGUUACCUGCAGAAGAAGCACCGGCUAACUCCGUGCCAGCAGCCGCGGUAAUACGGAGGGUGCAAGCGUUAAUCGGAAUUACUGGGCGUAAAGGGCGCCGUA